CCAGCAGCUGCGGUAAUUCCAGCUCCAAGAGUGUAUAUUAAAGUUGUUGCGGUUAAAAAGCUCGUAGUUGGACUUAGAUUUAGAGUACGCUAGUACCCUUUGACUUUUGUCUUUGGGAUCAAUACUAAGUACUUCUAUCUCUCUUCUGGGAACAUCCGCAAGGGGUUCUGCAGGUUUUACUUUGAAUAAAUUAGGGUGUUCAAAGCAGACAUAUCGUCUUGAAUACAUUAGCAUGGGAUAAUAGAAUAUGACUUUGGUCUAUAGUUUAUUGGUUUCUAAGGCCUUAGUAAUGAUUGAUAGGGAUAGUUGAGGUCGCUUGUAUUCAGUGGUUAGAGGUGAAAUUCUAUGAC
rnacentral:rRNA from 1 species